rnacentral:lncRNA from 1 species
AAAAAAUGCAAAACUGAUUUUGUAUUUCUUAUGAUUUACUUAAUUUGCUUUUUCAUACAUUCGUUGUCACGCCCCGGGGCCGAUUUUAAAAGCCAUUACCAUUUUGAAAUCUCAGAGUCGCGGAAAAUGUGCCUUUUUUUUUUCCAACCUGGCCCACGUGACGUACAGACCCGCCACAAAUACAAAGUUCAUCUGUUCACUCGGACAGAGUCUCCUUUGUAUUUGCACGGCGUACCAACGGAUACAACAGGAUCACAACCACAACCUACAUUUUUCAAUCAGCAACCAAUUCAUGAUAUGCAUUUUCAUACAGCUAACAAUCCUUAGAGAUGAUGCAUGCCUCUAAACACUCCUUAGACGCUGGAUGAUGCAAUGCACAGUACAACAAUCAUCCUAUUUAAAAGUGCUCCCCACACGGAAGCUUUUGUUUUUAAAAUCUAAUUCAUUCAUACAUGAAAAUCAUUCAAAAAUCUUUUGAAAACUGUUUCCCACACGGAAACUCUAUUUUGAAAACUGACUACCUCGAGGGGUAGAAAACCACGAUGCGUAAAUCCAUAAAUACAAAUCCGUGAACCACAAAGUAUACAAACAUCCCAAAACUGAAGAUCCAUAAACCAAAUCCACAAUUCCACAAAUCCACAAAUUCAACCAGCUCACAACAUUCAAACAUCAAGUAUGAUCAUCUAACUGAACCGUAUAAACUAACUAAGCUAUAACAACAGAAUAGUAAGGAUAAAAACUAAAUCGAUAACCUGGGUCGGAAGCUCUAUCGACCGCUACGAACGUACCUCACGUCUCGUCCCAAAACUCAUCGCCUGCAAUACCUGAAAAAUGGUGGGGGAGGUGAGAACAUGUAAAUAUGUCUCCCCUCCCAGUGGGUACCGCAAGCCGAUGAAGGCGAUGAGUACUCACCGGAUCAGGAAGAGCUAAACAACAGUACGGGUCAGUAGAAAAUACAGUAGCAAUAAUAAUGAAUGAAAGAGACAUAUAUAUGAAAGAAAGUAUAACUACCGCUACUGUAAUGAACAACUGAAUGUAUACAUGUAACAAGACUAUAGUAGCAAGACAAUGUAACGAAAGAACUGAAGAUAUACAAGCGACCACUGCUACUAUAGUUAUAUGCGUCAACCAGACGAUAAGUCCAAAUAUACCCAAUCUGAUGCUGCUAUAUU